rnacentral:rRNA from 1 species
UGGGGGAUAUUGCACAAUGGGCGAAAGCCUGAUGCAGCGACGCCGCGUGGGGGAUGAAGGCCUUCGGGUUGUAAACUUCUUUUGCUCUGAACAAGGCGCACCAUGGGGUGUGUUGAGUGUAGGGGUUGAUUAGCGCCGGCUAACUACGUGCCAGCAGCCGCGGUAAUACGUAGGGCGCGAGCGUUGUCCGGAAUUAUUGGGCGUAAAGGGCUUGUAGGUGGCUGGUUGCGUCUGUCGUGAAAGCUCAUGGCUUAACUGUGGGUUUGCGGUGGGUACGGGCUGGCUUUGGUGCAGUAGGGGAGGCGGGAAUUCCUGGUGUAGCGGUGGAAUGCGCAGAUAUCAGGAGGAAUACCGGUGGCGAAGGCGGGUCUCUGGGCUGUUACUGACACUGAGGAGCGAAAGCAUGGGGGGCGAACAGG